GAUGAACGCUGUCUACAGGCUUAACACAUGCAAGUCGAGGGGAAACGACGGGGAAGCUUGCUUCCCCGGGCGUCGACCGGCGCACGGGUGAGUAACGCGUAUCCAACCUGCCUCUGACUGAGGGAUAACCCGUCGAAAGUCGGCCUAAUACCUCAUGGCAUCGUCUGCGGGCAUCCAACGACGAUUAAAGAUUUCAUCGGUCAGGGAUGGGGAUGCGUCUGAUUAGCUUGUUGGCGGGGUAACGGCCCACCAAGGCUACGAUCAGUAGGGGUUCUGAGAGGAAGGUCCCCCACAUUGGAACUGAGACACGGUCCAAACUCCUACGGGAGGCAGCAGUGAGGAAUAUUGGUCAAUGGGCGGGAGCCUGAACCAGCCAAGUAGCGUGCAGGAUAACGGCCCUAUGGGUUGUAAACUGCUUUUAUGCGGGGAUAAAGUGAGGGACGUGUCCUUCAUUGCAGGUACCGCAUGAAUAAGGACCGGCUAAUUCCGUG
rnacentral:rRNA from 1 species